ensembl:lncRNA
UGCACACGGCUGUGAGUGUGGUGUCGUGACUACAUUCAUCUUCAUAAAAAGACUGUGGGCUGAUGUGUUACUUCCUAAUUCACUCAUUGUGUGAGUCUCGUCUCUAUUCUCACUCUCGCUGUAAUGGAGUUGUUCAUCUUCAUAGUGUUUCAGCUCCUGAUGGAGGUUCAGUCUUACAAUUCACUUCCGAAACCCUUCAUCAGUGUUAGUGGAGAUGAUGACCAGCUCAGCAUAUCAUGUGAAAUACCACUUUCAGUCAGAGCUGAUUUCAACUGUAGUCUCUACACUGAGGAUGAUGUUCUUCUGUAUCAACGUGUCUCUCUGUGGAGUCAGUCUGGAGGGAAUCUUUGUAUAUUUUAUGUAAAUCGUAGUGAACUCUUGACACGAUCAGUGAACAGCAGACAACUGUUCUGUGUUUAUUCACGCAAGACUGAACCUGAGAUCAGAUCACCACACAGUGACACAUACACCUUCAGAGCUUCAACACCAACCACCACUAAACAUACGACUACAACAACAGCCACGACAACCUUAGAUGUCCAAUCCAAGACAAGGCUGCCAACCAGCAAAGCAAAGAAAACCCAGAGUAAGUUCAUCCACUCUUCCUCAAUGAGAAAAGUCACUGUGUAGAAUGAAUAUGUUGGAUUCAAGUCAUAUUAAAAAAUACAGCUGGGAUGCAGUUUCAAAGUUUAUUGGUACAUAGUAGGCUGUAGCACACAGAGAAUUAAAUAAAGAUGUGAUUUUCAACA